AUCCUCAGUGAUACGUGAACAUCACGAUUUGAUGUGAUGCACUAUUCUCUGAGGCUGU
rnacentral:pre_miRNA from 1 species